UUUCCGUAGGUGAACCUGCGGAAGGAUCAUUAACGAGUUAUGGUCUUCUAGGCCCGACCUCCCAACCCUUUGUUCACUGAACCAUUGUUGCCUCGGUGGGUCCGUCUUACGACCGCCGGGGGAUCGCCGCGAGGCGCCGCCUGGCCAGCGCCCACCGAUAGCUCAACCUUUAAAACCCUUUGUGAAUCGUGUCUUAUGUCUAAAUUUAUGAUUAAACAAUCAAAACAAAACUUUCAACAACGGAUCUCUUGGUUCUG
rnacentral:misc_RNA from 1 species